AGAGUUUGAUCCUGGCUCAGGAUGAACGCUGGCGGCGUGCUUAACACAUGCAAGUCGAGCGAAGCACUUUACUUGGAUUUCUUCGGGAUGAAGAGUUUUGUGACUGAGCGGCGGACGGGUGAGUAACGCGUGGGUAACCUGCCUCAUACAGGGGGAUAACAGUUAGAAAUGACUGCUAAUACCGCAUAAGACCACAGCACCGCAUGGUGCAGAGGUAAAAACUCCGGUGGUAUGAGAUGGACCCGCGUCUGAUUAGCUGGUUGGUGGGGUAACGGCCUACCAAGGCAACGAUCAGUAGCCGGCCUGAGAGGGCGACCGGCCACAUUGGGACUGAGACACGGCCCAAACUCCUACGGGAGGCAGCAGUGGGGAAUAUUGCACAAUGGGGGAAACCCUGAUGCAGCGACGCCGCGUGAAGGAAGAAGUAUUUCGGUAUGUAAACUUCUAUCAGCAGGGAAGAAAAUGACGGUACCUGACUAAGAAGCCCCGGCUAACUACGUGCCAGCAGCCGCGGU
rnacentral:rRNA from 1 species